rnacentral:rRNA from 1 species
GACGAACGCUGGCGGCGUGCCUAAUACAUGCAAGUCGAACGCAGUGGGGGCGGGUGAUUAACACGUGGGUAACCUCCCAUCAGAGGGGAGAACACUUGGAAACAAGUGCUAAACCGAUACUGGUUGAUGGACCCGCGGGGCAUUAGCUAGUUGGUGAGGUAACGGCUCACCAAGGCCACGAUGCAUAGCCGACCGUAGAGGGUGACCGGCCACACUGGUACUGAGAAACGGCCCAGACUCCUACGGGAGGCAGCAGUAGGGAAUCUUCGGCAAUGGACGCAAGUCUGACCGAGCAACGCCGCGUGAGUGAAGAAGGUCUUCGGAUCGUAAAACACUGUUGUCAGGGAAGCGGUAUCUAACCAGAAAGCAACGGCUAACUCCGUGCCAGCCGCCGCGGUAAUAC